CUGCGGCCCCGCGCACCCCCGGGAGCCUCUACCCCAGCAACCACGACAGGAUGAGCCCCGCGGACUCCUGCCAGUCGUUUGCAAAGCCUUCCGAGCUGAACAACCUUAAUUCCGUGAAAGCUGCUCCAGCAGGAGGGUCCCUGGAGCA